CACAGAAAAGGUACAGCACCAGCAGCGCAAGCUUCCUCCACUCAGCCCCGUUAAUGAGCCUCCGUCCUGACCUGAAGAGACCACUUCUACU
rnacentral:sRNA from 1 species